UACAGGGGGGGGCAAGCGUUGUUCGGAAUUACUGGGCGUAAAGGGGUAGUAGGCGGCCAACUAAGUCCGACGUGAAAUCCCAAGGCUUAACCUUGGAACUGCGUCGGAUACUGGAUGGCUUGAAUUCGGGAGAGGGAUGCAGAAUUCCAGGUGUAGCGGUGAAAUGCGUAGAUAUCUGGAGGAAUACCGGUGGCGAAGGCGGCAUCCUGG
rnacentral:rRNA from 1 species